UACGUAGGGUGCAAGCGUUAAUCGGAAUUACUGGGGCGUAAAAGCGUGCGCAGGCGGUUUUUGUAAGUCUGUCGUGAAAGCCCCCGGGCUCAACCUGGGAAUUGCGAUGGAGACUGCAAGGCUUGAAUCUGGCAGAGGGGGGUAGAAUUCCACGUGUAGCAGUGAAAUGCGUAGAGAUGUGGAGGGAAUACCGAUGGCGAAGGCAGCCCCCCUGGGACAUGACUGACGCUCAUGCACGAAAGCGUGGGGAGCAAACAGG
rnacentral:rRNA from 1 species